rnacentral:tRNA from 1 species
UCCCUGGUAGCUCAGUUGGUUAGAGCGGCGGACUGUUAAUCCGUAGGUCGAAGGUUCGAGUCCUUCCCGGGGAG